rnacentral:rRNA from 1 species
GACGAACGCUGGCGGCGUGCUUAACACAUGCAAGUCGUACGGUAAGGCCCUUUCGGGGGUCCCCGAGUGGCGAACGGGUGCGUAACACGUGAGUAACCUGCCCACAACUUUGGGAUAACGCUAGGAAACUGGUGCUAAUACUGGAUAUGUGCUCCUGCUGCAUGGUGGGGGUUGGAAAGCUCCGGCGGUUGUGGAUGGACUCGCGGCCUAUCAGCUUGUUGGUGGGGUAGUGGCCUACCAAGGCGGCGACGGGUAGCCGGCCUGAGAGGGUGACCGGCCACAUUGGGACUGAGAUACGGCCCAGACUCCUACGGGAGGCAGCAGUGGGGAAGAUUGCACAAUGGGCGCAAGCCUGAUGCAGCAACGCCGCGGGCGGGAUGACGGCCUUCGGGUUGUAAACCGCUUUCAGCAGGGACGAAGCUUUUUGUGACGGUACCUGCAGAAGAAGCACCGGCUAACUACGUG